UUUUUCUUUCCACAAUAUCAGAAUUUAUUGAGCAGUAACAUCUUCACAGGGUUUAUCGGUCUUUCCAUUCAUUUAUAUAUUCACUUUACAUCCUGAUCACAGCCACUCCUAGUUCCCCUCUUCUACAGUCCCGUAGGAUGAUGUCAUCAUUCAGGUGAAGGGACGUGCAGGAUAGAGUGAGGCCUGUCAUUGGACGAGGAGGAAGGAUGGGCAGGAGAAAAGUUUUAGAGAGGAGGAGGAGAUUGGAGGGGAAAAGGAGGAGCAGCCGAGAGAGCAUGGAGGCGGAUGUUAAGAUUCCUCUCUGCACAUUUACAGGUUGUUAUGAAUAUUCUUAAGGGAUGGAUGUGUAUAGGGCUUUGUAUACCUAAGUGGGCAAAUUAUCUUAUCAGUUGGGUCAGAGGUUAUUGUGUUGUGUGUUCUUUCAUGUGGCGAGUUAAUUGAGUUCAAGAGAGUGUGUGGUGGCUGGAGACACGAGGUAGCCAUGAAGUUGUGAAGUUGGGAUGUGUAUAUUUGACAUGGUGGCAACCUGCCUUGGGAACUAGAUGGGUAGAAAGAUUGUUGCCAGGCUCAGAGAGUAGCCAUUGGCAGGGUGAUAUGGGAUGGAGCAAAGUGGGUGAGACACUUUGCUGACUGAGAUGAAAAUAUCUUUUUUUUUUUUAAAAAAAGAUUUAUUUAUUUAUUAUAUUGUAGAGGGCCGCAAUAACAUUCGCCACGACUAGAUGGCGCUGGCUUCCACUGCACCCCACGUGGAAGGCCAGGAUAGCCUCCGCCAUUACAAGAUGGCGCUAGCCUUCACCGCGCCAGCCGGCUCCCUUUCAGGAAGUUAACUGUGCACAUGUGCAAGAGUGCCUUCAUGCCAGGUCUUUGCCCACUCCGGGGCGUGCUUUAUGAGAUCAUGGGUAAACAACCAAUCAGGUGUGGAUGUGCCGCACUAGGGUGUAUAUAAGCGCGCCAUAUUGGCGCGGUGAGGCUUCCUCUUUGAGAUUAUAAUAAAGUUGGUCACAGUAAGGAUUUCUAUGUACCCGCGCGUUUCUUGCCGGCGGGAAGCCGCGCGUGGGACAUUAUAUUUAAGUACAGUUGCUGUCUUCAGACACACCAGAAUAGAGCAUUGGAUCCCCAUUACAGAUGGUUGUGAACCACCACACCAUGUGAUUGCUGGGAAUUGAACUCAGGACCUCUGGAUGAGCAGUCAGUGCUCUUAACCACUGAGCCAUCUCUCCAGCACCAAGAUGAAAAUAUCUAACAGAUGCCAUGAGGCACUACGGUCCUUCCCCCCAAAUCCCCACCUCCUCUAAGAAGGAGAGGCCACCUGGGUACCAACAUACCCUAGAACAUCAAGUCACUACAGUACUCCUACUGAGUCCAGACAAGAUAGCCCAGUUAGGGGAACAAGAUCGAGAAGCAGGCAACAGAGUCAGGGACAGCCCCCCCCCCUCCAGUUGUUGGGAACUCUGAUGAAAACCAAGCUGCACAUCUGCUACAUAUGUGCAGGGCAGGGGGCAGGGGAUGGGGUGGCAGAAGCCUAGGUCCAGCUCAUGCUUGCUCUUUGGUUGGUGGUUCAGUCUCUGGGAGACCCCAACAGUCCAGGUUAGUUGACUCUGUCUUGCUGUGGAGUUCCUAUUCCCUCUACAGCUCUCAAUUCUUCCCUUAACUCUCCCACAAGACUUCCUGAGCUCUGUCUAACAUUUGGCUGUGGGUCUUUGCAACUGUUUUAAUUAGCUGCUUGGUAGAGCCUUUCAGAGGACAGUUAUGCUAGGCUCCUGUCUACAAGCAUAACAAAGUAUCAUUAAGAGUGUCAAGGAUUGGUUCUUGCCCAUGGGAUGGGUCUCAAGUUGAGCCAGUCAUUGGUUGGCCAUUCCCUCAGUCUAUGCUCUGUCUUGGUCCCUGCACGUCUUCUAGGCAGGACACAUUUUGGGUUGAAGGUUUUAUGGGUGAGUUGGCGUUCUUAUCCCUCCACUGGAGUCCUGCCUGGCUACAGGAGGUGUCCACUUUAGGCUCCAUAUCCCCUGCCCCUGCUAGGAGUUUCAGUUAGAGUCACUCCCAUAGACUCCCUAGAGCCUCCCCCAUCCCAGUUCUCUGGCACAAAGGACCUAUUUAUUUUCAGCAUCCGCCAUGGGUCAUGAUGAAUUUUUGGUGCCCUCUUCCCGUUUGCACACAUUUGGAGUGUCUCUUGGAAUGGGGAAGUUACGUGGUUUCUAAGGUGACUGCUUAGGAAUGUUCCAGCCACACAGAAAGUAUCAUUCUGGCUCCUGGCCACUAGAGGGGUAAUAAUUAGGGCUCUUAGUGGGUGGGGUCCCCAAAGACUCGCUGCAGGGCAGGUCCUGUUCUGGUGAAGGUACACAGUUGGGAUGGAGAGACAAGAGGAGGUGAGAAGGGAGGGGCAGGGAUAGGAGGAAGGGCAGAACCUUAAGGAGAUCGUGUAAGCCACACGUUUGUGGAACUGAUUAGUUCCACAAAUAUGUCCCAUUGAAUGUGUCCUGCCUGGACAUGCUGUGGAGCUAACGCACACAGCAUCCACAUGCCCAGAUAUGGAUUUAUAUGUACAUUGAGGCAGGGUCUCAUGUAGGCCAGGUUGGGUAGCCAAGGACGACUUUAAACUUCUGAUCCUUCUGUUUUCAACUCUUUGUCCACCUGGCCUGUCUGGGCGCCAUGCUGCGUGGAGAUGAGUGUGUUUACUAUCUAAGUCUCCCAUUCAGAGACUGUGCACACAAAGGGGCAGUCACCAGGCCCUGUAGGACAAUAGUGCUCUGCGAU
ensembl:lncRNA